UCUCUUGAAGAAAACCUUAUAGCAUUUAAGAGCCCAGGAGAGGCAAUUCUAUGGCUUUCUGGAAAUGGUUGUUUCUUUAAGAUCAGGGGAAAGGAACAUGAGCCCAGCUGGCUAAUUAGUUUUACCCCACAUGUGACAGUUUGGGUUUUUAACUCCUAGGUUGAGUCUGACUCAUGAAGGAUUAUAGCAUGUUUUUGCAGGCACUUUUGUGCUGCUCCUAUGACAAGGCUUUUCCUCAAAAAAGGAAUAAAAAUGAACUGAACUGAUCGUCCCAUCCAUGGCAGGAAGAGGUGAUGGUUGCAAAGGUUGCAGGAGCAGCAGUAAAACCAGCCCAGUGCAAGCAGAAUAGAUUUCCCCAGGACUGGCAGCAAAGCCAUCAUCCAUAGCAAAGUCCUUCCCAAUAUACUGGCAAUGUUUCAAGUGUGCACAGAACCUACCUGGUUAAACCUGCUGGGCCACACAAUGGCACCCUCGGAAAUGGUGAAUGUUCUGCCUGGGGAAGCAUCUGGUUCUAUCCUUCCAACUUUGACUCGAUGAAAAGAUUGAUUUGGAAAUGUGACCCAGUUGAUAAUAUCAAAUCCACCUAGUAGCUCUCCAUUUGGGUCAAAAGAAACCAUUUCCCCAACGCUGUUGUUAAAUGAGACACCUCUCAGAAAGUGGUGAAUCUAAACAAACAUUUUAGAUGUCUAUAAAGAUGAAAGCAUAAAA